GGCACAGUUACUCUGCACAAAAUGCCGGCUUCCACUACACCAGUGUCAGAUGACGGGCAGACAUGUGCUAAAGCCAGGCCAUCAGGCACCAGAAGAGGAGGAGCUGCUGAAUGGACAGACGGCCAUACAAAGCUGCUGCUGGAAUACUAUUACAAAUACUUCCCACAGAUUGGCCCAUUCAAAAAAUUCAAAAACAGAAAACAAGCAUUCAAGCAAAUAUCCCAAGACAUUGAAGCUGUACUUGGCAUAAAAAAACGCC
rnacentral:lncRNA from 1 species